rfam:Salmo salar isolate Sally breed double haploid chromosome ssa07, whole genome shotgun sequence.
UAUAAAAUUCUUGGCAUGCACGCUUUCUCCCUGUACCCGUGUAUGUUAUGGAGGGAUAACAAGGCCAGUGCUAUGUCUUCGGUGCCAGAAUGUUCCUUGUCUUCUGGUUGUGUCUUCAAUUCGCUGGUACAUCC